AGAAGGGGAAAAGUCUGGAAAUUUACUUAUCUUCUUUCUGCUCCUGUGGAAGCCAUUGCAAAGUCGUGAACAAAAUCAACUUCUGGUCAACUCGACAUUAUAACUUUCGAUCAAAAGCGUUAAGGUUUCGUUUAGGACUUCAAUGAGGCAAAGGUUUGAAGAAAUCUGAAGGUUGAAGUGUUGAGGAUAGCAUACUCCCGUGAAGAUCAGAUCAGGACAAAUGAAU